AGCGAACGCUGGCGGCAGGCUUAACACAUGCAAGUCGAGCGGGCCCUUCGGGGUCAGCGGCGGACGGGUGAGUAACGCGUGGGAACGUGCCUUCUGGUUCGGAAUAACUCAGGGAAACUUGAGCUAAUACCGGAUACGCCCUUUUGGGGAAAGGUUUACUGCCGGAAGAUCGGCCCGCGUCUGAUUAGCUAGUUGGUGGGGUAACGGCCUACCAAGGCGACGAUCAGUAGCUGGUCUGAGAGGAUGAUCAGCCACACUGGGACUGAGACACGGCCCAGACUCCUACGGGAAGCAGCAGUGGGGAAUAUUGGACAAUGGGCGCAAGCCUGAUCCAGCCAUGCCGCGUGAGUGAUGAAGGCCUUAGGGUUGUAAAGCUCUUUUAUCCGGGACGAUAAUGACGGUACCGGAGGAAUAAGCCCCGGCUAACUUCGUG
rnacentral:rRNA from 1 species